AUUGAACGCUGGCGGCAGGCCUAACACAUGCAAGUCGAGCGGCAGCGGAAAGUAGCUUGCUACUUUGCCGGCGAGCGGCGGACGGGUGAGUAAUGUCUGGGAAACUGCCUGAUGGAGGGGGAUAACUACUGGAAACGGUAGCUAAUACCGCAUGACCUCGAAAGAGCAAAGUGGGGGAUCUUCGGACCUCACGCCAUCGGAUGUGCCCAGAUGGGAUUAGCUAGUAGGUGAGGUAAUGGCUCACCUAGGCGACGAUCCCUAGCUGGUCUGAGAGGAUGACCAGCCACACUGGAACUGAGACACGGUCCAGACUCCUACGGGAGGCAGCAGUGGGGAAUAUUGCACAAUGGGCGCAAGCCUGAUGCAGCCAUGCCGCGUGUGUGAAGAAGGCCUUAGGGUUGUAAAGCACUUUCAGCGAGGAGGAAGGCACCAUACUUAAUACGUGUGGUGAUUGACGUUACUCGCGGAAGAAGCACCGGCUAACUCCGUGCCAGCAGCCGCGGUAAUACGGAGGGUGCAAGCGUUAAUCGGAAUUACUGGGCGUAAAGCGCACGCAGGCGGUUUGUUAAGUCAGAUGUGAAAUCCCCGCGCUUAACGUGGGAACUGCAUUUGAAACUGGCAAGCUAGAGUCUUGUAGAGGGGGGUAGAAUUCCAGGUGUAGCGGUGAAAUGCGUAGAGAUCUGGAGGAAUACCGGUGGCGAAGGCGGCCCCCUGGACAAAGACUGACGCUCAGGUGCGAAAGCGUGGGGAGCAAACAGG
rnacentral:rRNA from 1 species